CAAUAAUCUGGGGAAGAAAAAAUGAUUACACUCUGUAUUCCAGUGCUAAUAUAUGAACAUCAUGAAACCAAGACAUUUGCAGCAGAUGCAUAAUGACCUCAGAUAUUAAUUUUUAUUAUCUACUCAAUAUAUUUAUUUUUAGAUUUUUAUUGGUUAAUUCUUAAAACGGGGGGAAAAAAUUCUGCCAAAGGUGAAAACUAUUGUUUUUCUUAGCCGCUGACAGAUAUUUGUUCUUGUUUUAAACAUUAACUCAUUUAUAUUUCAGUAAAUGCUUCUCGAUUUAAGGAUGUUCAGAUAUUUGAGCUGGAAAACAAGAGGAAGAGCAUCAUUCUCUGCGGUGAAGAAGAACACCAUGACCUUCAUCAAAUUAAAAUCUCUCGUAUAAAUCGUGUAAGCUACUACUAAAUAUUGUAGAAACUUAAUUUUCUGUAAAGUUGAUUUGCAAUGAUUUGUAAAGCAAAAAGCACUAUAAAUUAAAUGAAAACAGUACUAAAAUUAAAGUAGUAACUUUUUACAAAAAAGUUGAAAUGCUAAAAUUAUUAAAACUGACAUAAACAUAAAGGCUAAAAAAAUAAAUUAAUAAAACUAAUUCCUAAACCUCAAACUGCAACCAUGAGGCUAAAAGCUAUGCUAUGUGUGACUCUGAGUAAGUGCUGUAACAGUUUAUAAAGACCUUGAUGUUGUUUGGACGCCAGAACCGUGUGUGUGUGUGUGUGUGUGUGUGUGUGUGUUGAACAGUCCACCUGGAUGUUCCCGUGUUUGGCUCCUGGGAUGAUCUGAAUCCUCUCAAAGCCC